AACAGUUUAAUGUAUCGAGAAGAAAAAACUGGCCUUCGGCCAUUCGGAGAAAAAAGGAGAAGAGAAAAACUCAGUGGUAUCAAACCCAAGAUACAUGGAAGGUGAUACACUACUGAUUUUUACUGCGAAUAAUUAACGUUGAAAAAUUGAUGUCGAAAUGGACUGUGUGAAUAGAGAAACCAAGUCAAAUUUUGGACAAGCUUAAUUUGAAUUAGCUUAGAGUUAAACUAUUGGCACUGUUUUCAUUUGAAAAUUUAUGAAUUUCAUUCUGUUCAAUAGGGGCACGUUUCCUGACUGCCACGCGAUCCAAACCACUUCGCGUCACGGGUGUCACGCAGUACACGUCACUCUUAUGAUUUAUACAUAUUAUAUACAUACAUACUACUAUGCAUAUUAUUAUAGAGUAAGAUAAAAAAGACCAUUUUAAUUCCACAGGAAAUCAAGGCUGAUAAGGAGCUAAAAAGUCUAGACAGCGCUUUGGAAAUGCUGCCAGGUAGCUGUAACAAAUUGUACGUCCAGAGAGCGUUUCUUGCCCUUGUUCAAACCAUGGUUCUUCUAAGGAGUUUCAAUUGUGAAACUUUACACAGAGAUACUUUAACUCUGAUGGAAAUAGGAUGCACAUGUGAGCUGAAAAUGAGUGAACUCAAGAAAAUGGCUGAAAAAACUGUUCUGCUCAUCAAGUCCGACUCUAAGACAUACAAAGAUAUGCUGAAGGAUCCUCUAAUAUCAAAGACAAUAAACGACGAGGCGCUCUUUUCUUGGCACACAUACUAGAUCAUCAAUGAUGAAAGUACUUAAAAUUGAUUUUUACUGAUAGUGUCUUCUACAGCGUGCGGCUAUAGGAUUUUGAUUAAUUAAUGGAAUUAGAUAACAACGGUGAAACUACCAGACCUCGUAUCUCGGUUUGCGACGUUGCAGGCUUUCGAUCUCACUUUACUUUUUAAUGGAACGUCAAUUCAACGUCCAUUUUUGAAAACCUCUGUGAUUUUUCCUCUCUAUGCGAUAAAAACUCUGAAGAAACUUCAAGGAAUGACAUUGAUUUGUUCUCUUUCAGAAUAAUGAAAUGGGAGCGAAGUUUUUUAAACACCACCCACGGCAUAUUUGACCUGGAAGUUUUACCGUCGAAAAGCUAAUUUAUCAUUUUAGCCGCCAACCGAAAAUGGACCUCAGUCCUUAUAAGUAAAAACCACAAGAAAUGGGCAACUAACGCUAGCGUUUCAGGGUUUCAACCAUCCUCAACCAGGAAAUAAAAAAUGUAUAAAUUGUAAAAUCAAUAACUUUUUAGACUCCUAUUCGUCUUCCAUUUCUGUUUCUUAGCUUUAGCUUUGUUGCCCCUUUUUUGUGUCUUUUUUAGUUGAAUUAUUUGGGCUAUUUUUGUGUAUUAUAUUAAUUGUCAUUGCUAACAUAAAAUAUUACUAAGUACUUAAAUUUAUUUUUAAUACUAUUCCUGAGACUCAUUUCUUCUCCUCUCAUUUCCUCUCAUUUCUUGCUUGAAACUUGCUCUAUUGAACAGGUCACAAAAUCGUAUUUUAAUGCUUGAUUCUUGUAGAUUAGCUAAACAUAAUAAGCUCUGUCCAGACAGCAACUCCCUGCGUUCAAUAUUAACCGAGAUAUCUCGCUUUGAAAAUUCGCUUUAUGACGUCAUCUACCGCAGCAAUGACACCGUUGAUUUCUCUCAUCUGUGUUUCAAGUUUAGUCCAGGCAAAUAAGCCAUGAAAGAACCUAUAGCCUGCAAAAAUCCCAGGUAUCCCCGGUAAGUCCAGAAAUUAUUCGUCAGACGAAUGGCGCCCGCCAGCGCGCUUAAUUUUGCCCUUAGGCAAAAAAUUCAUAGAAACUUUUUUAUAGGAAAUUUAACGAGCUUUAUUUCUGAAAAUUACUAAUUUUGUCGUCAGAUCAAUUUUUGGCAAGUUACAGGCCAUAAUCCGCAAAAAAUGCCGAUUUUAGGGCAUAAUCCGCAAAGAAUACCGAUUUUAGGCCAUUUUUGCCAAAUUUUGGCAACUUUCCGGUCCGAAUUUAAUGGCGCGAAGUUGAAAUUCGGAUUCAGCGUCAAAAAUUACAUAGAAAUUGAUGAAAACAUUGCUACCCGGGAUUUUUGCAGGCUAUAGCCCCUUUCAUGGCUUAUUUGCCUGGACUAUACGGCGCGGCUGGCAGCCGGCCAGCGGGAGACGCGCAC
rnacentral:lncRNA from 1 species